UGGGGAAUUUUGGACAAUGGGCGAAAGCCUGAUCCAGCAAUGCCGCGUGUGUGAAGAAGGCCUUCGGGUUGUAAAGCACUUUUGUCCGGAAAGAAAUCCUUGGCUCUAAUACAGUCGGGGGAUGACGGUACCGGAAGAAUAAGCACCGGCUAACUACGUGCCAGCAGCCGCGGUAAUACGUAGGGUGCAAGCGUUAAUCGGAAUUACUGGGCGUAAAGCGUGCGCAGGCGGUUUGCUAAGACCGAUGUGAAAUCCCCGGGCUCAACCUGGGAACUGCAUUGGUGACUGGCAGGCUAGAGUAUGGCAGAGGGGGGUAGAAUUCCACGUGUAGCAGUGAAAUGCGUAGAGAUGUGGAGGAAUACCGAUGGCGAAGGCAGCCCCCUAGGCCAAUACUGACGCUCAUGCACGAAAGCGUGGGGAGCAAACAGGAUUAGAUACCCUGGUAGUCCACGCCCUAAAACGAUGUCAACUAGUUGUUGGGGAUUCAUUUCCUUAGUAACGUAGCUAACGCGUGAAGUUGACCGCCU
rnacentral:rRNA from 1 species